rnacentral:rRNA from 1 species
AUUGAACGCUGGCGGCAGGCUUAACACAUGCAAGUCGAACGAGUGGCGGACGGGUGAGUAAUGUCUGGGAAACUGCCUGAUGGAGGGGGAUAACUACUGGAAACGGUAGCUAAUACCGCAUACCAUCAGAUGUGCCCAGAUGGGAUUAGCUUGUUGGUGGGGUAACGGCUCACCAAGGCGACGAUCCCUAGCUGGUCUGAGAGGAUGACACGCCCAACUGGAAAGAAGAAAAGGUCCAGACUCCUACGGGAGGCAGCAGUGGGGAAUAUUUCACAAUGGUCGCAAGCCUGAUGCAGCCAUGCCGCGUGUAUGCAGAAGGCCUUCGGGUUGUAAAGUACUUUCAGCGGAGAGGCGUUACCCGCAGAAUAAGCACCGGCUAACUCCGUGCCAGCAGCCGCGGUAAUUC